GUAUUGCAUGUAAGGAGAGAAAGCUUAGCACUCCCCUUGACAAGGAGAAGAGGGGCCCCUGGGCCUAACAACUUCUAUAUGGUUAAGGCGUUGCCACCUGCUUUGUGGCAACUAACCACUGUUAAAA
ensembl:snRNA predicted gene, 22031